rnacentral:rRNA from 1 species
CAGACGGGUGAGUAACGCGUGGGAAUCUACCCAGAUCUACGGAAUAACCCAGGGAAACUUGGACUAAUACCGUAUACGCCCUUCGGGGGAAAGAUUUAUCGGAUUUGGAUGAGCCCGCGUCGGAUUAGCUAGUUGGUGGGGUAAUGGCCUACCAAGGCGACGAUCCGUAGCUGGUCUGAGAGGAUGAUCAGCCACACUGGGACUGAGACACGGCCCAGACUCCUACGGGAGGCAGCAGUGGGGAAUAUUGGACAAUGGGCGAAAGCCUGAUCCAGCCAUGCCGCGUGAGUGAUGAAGGCCCUAGGGUUGUAAAGCUCUUUCACCGGUGAAGAUAAUGACGGUAACCGGAGAAGAAGCCCCGGCUAACUUCGUGCCAGCAGCCGCGGUAAUACGAAGGGGGCUAGCGUUGUUCGGAUUUACUGGGCGUAAAGCGCACGUAGGCGGAUUGUUUAGUGAGGGGUGAAAUCCCAGGGCUCAACCCUGGAACUGCCUCUCAUACUGGCAAUCUCGAGUUUGGGAGAGGUGAGUGGAAUUCCGAGUGUAGAGGUGAAAUUCGUAGAUAUUCGGAGGAACACCAGUGGCGAAGGCGGCUC